AUACGGAGGGUGCAAGCGUUAAUCGGACUUACUGGGCGUAAAGCGCACGCAGGCGGUCAAUUAAGUCAGAUGUGAAAGCCCCGAGCUUAACUUGGGAAUUGCAUCUGAAACUGGUUGGCUAGAGUCUUGUAGCGGGGGGUAGAAUUCCACGUGUAGCGGUGAAAUGCGUAGAGAUGUGGAGGAAUACCGGUGGCGAAGGCGGCCCCCUGGACAAAGACUGACGCUCAGGUGCGAGAGCGUGGGGAGCAAACAGGAUUAGAUACCCUGGUAGUCCACGCUGUAAACGAUGUCGAUUUAGAGGUUGUGGUCUUGAACUGUGGCUUCUGGAGCUAACGCGUUAAAUCGACCGCCUGGGGAGUACGGCCGCAAGGUUAAAACUCAAAUGAAUGGGCGGGG
rnacentral:rRNA from 1 species